AGGCCCACUAAACAAAGACGAUCCUGAAAGCGACUAUCGACUCGACGAGCUGACGUUACUCUCAACCGAUUAACCGAACGCCCCCCAUCGAAUCAAGAUCGGUAGGCGUCCGAUGUUCAGACUCUACAGACUACUUCGGCCGUCGGUAUUUCAAAAUUACUAAUCGACGACCGACCCCCGACGCAUAGUCGGCCGACCCAUUCAAAUAUGUCAUAA
rnacentral:lncRNA from 1 species